UCUACUCAUUGGUCUGUCCCUCUUACCAGAGAGUGGUUUGGAAGCAAUGGAAGGUACAUCUAGGACUGUCUAACCUGAGAAUGGUGAAUCCAAGGUCAAUCUCAGGUUCGUCAGCCCAUGAGGUGCCUUCUCCAGACCUCGAAUCCC
rnacentral:miRNA from 1 species